rnacentral:snRNA from 1 species
GAAACUGAGAAGCUGCUGAGGAU